UGUACAUCUCUGAACAUGGCACUGCCAUUAGACUUGCAGUGCAGCGAUGUCAUAGCAUUGUGACGUCAUCAAGUACAUGACGUCAUAGCAUUGUCAGGGUAUUGUACAAAGUCUACUGUCAAAAACGAUAUCUCCUAGGAGAAAUCGUUUGAUCUCACACAAGCGAUAUCUCCUGUGGAACACAGUUUUGGAUGAUAAAUACUGGUAUUUGUCAG